GCGCAGGCGCGAUCUCGCGUUCUUUUCGAGGUCGGCCGCGUGGCUGGAAGACAUGGCUGCUGGCGUUGGUGUUGAGCGCGGCGAGCAGCUUCAGGCCUUUAGUGAUGAUGAGGCCUUUCUUUGGCAUCUGCAGAGACGGUGAAAAGCAGAGCUCCAGGUUGAAGGAGCAGAGUAAUGGAUGGAGCCCUAACAUGAGUAAGAAUGGGUUCAGGCAAGGCCUGAGUGGUCACCAAAAAUGAGAAAGCACAGAUGGUGCUAUCACAUACAUUCACGUCCUGCUUUAUUCUGAAGUUCAAGUGUGAGAAUACAUGUUGACAUACAAGCCAGCUAUGAUUAAAGGUGUUGGCUGUGGCCUUGGAAACAGUCAUGUGAAAACCCAUCACCUUAAGGUGUUGAGUGUAAGGAUCUUCAUGAUGAAGUUUCUUUAAAUGGUGCAGUGAGCCUCAGUUUCUGAGGCCGGAAAAGGAUCCUUUAGUAGCCACAUUGUGGCAGUUGCCCUGAACCAGGACCUGGACCCGGACCCAAAUUGCCAUGUCUUUAAUGCAUGUUAGCUACUAGCCAUGCCAGAUGGAAUCAGCACAGCCCUGCCUCUGCUGCUAAUUGUUCCUCUAAAGUAAUCGCCAUGCCUUCUUCGGGCUUCAUCUUUAAAGGAAUGAAGUGACUGAGAUUAUUCUGGAAAAGCUUUUGGCAGUUAGUGAAAUUAGAGUACAACUAAGAACAUUUUCAGACCUCCACUGUGGAUGACCUGGGUAUAAUCUCACAAAUCGAUGGGAAUGCAAGGAUUGUAAACUGAAAUGAACGCGAUUAUACUGUGUUGGAAGAGCCUAAGAGGAAACCGAUGCCACCGUUCUACCUCCUGGAUGGUCGUGAUCGUCGGGUGUGGCUGACUUGGAAGACUGAACCUGGGCUGGGCGGCUGAUUGAAGUCCCUUUGGGCUGCAGCAGCUGGUCUUUCAGGCUUUCCAUCUGGGCCCUGUGUACCCACCGCUUUUUCUAUGUGAUGAUUUGCCAGAAGAAUACUCCAUUUCAACAAACAGGUCUAUGGAAAGAAGCAAACUAAUUACAUGCAGCUUCUUUUAUGCCUGUGGCCCAGAUUUAGGAGUUCCAGACCAGCCUGGGAAACAGAUUUAGAAAUGGAAUCAAGCAUUGACAGUGCUGUGAUUGCUGAAGGCAGUCUACCUAUCCACGAGCGCGGCCCGUGCUGGCAGGGUUCGAAAACCUUGUCUGAGUUAAGGAACAAGAAGGGGGCACCCCCAGGCCAUCUCCCAUGACCUUUGGAAGGUGCAGAAAAGCCUCAACGUCUCCAUAGGAAGAAGCACAAAGUUGAGAGGAAGGGCAGAGCUCACAUGCUGUCCAGGUGGCCUCUGCAACAAAUAAUACGACCCUCCUCUGGAGAUUGGAAAGUAGAUUUCCUGGUGGGGCCAGGGAAGACUAGGCUGGGUUUUCUGAGCAGGGCUUUGUUAAAGAGGGGAUACCAUCUAUGCAGAGCCCACCCUAUCCACAGAGGCCAGCAGCAAUAGAUGGAACCAAGUCCAUCUGGAUCUGGGGCCUCCUCACCUUGGACCUAUAGCCAGCUACAUUAAGACACCUCUGCUGCCUUCUUCCGUGUCCUGACCACUUCCAUUUCCUGCUCUCUACACCAGGGCAGUUAGGAAGCGAGGCCUUGUAAAGAGAGGAGGCAGCAGGUAUCACAGAACUGGACCAGGCCCACUCCCCAAUCUCCUCAUUCUCCCAGCAAGCAGUGUGAGUGCCCAGCUUGUGCUGGGAAGAGGAGGUGAAGCACUGUGAACCAGAUAUGUGAGUGGGGCUUGAAACAGGGCUGGUCUGAGCUUUACCAGGCUAAAGUGAUGAAUCUGCCUAAGAUAUUGCUAAAGGACUGAAGGGAGUUGGCAUAGAGUGAUUGGAAGCAGUGAUUAGAAAAUAGAAAAUGGGCUGGGUACCAUGGCUCAUGCCUGGAAUCCCAGCACUUUGAGAGGCCAAAGAAGGCAGA